rnacentral:rRNA from 1 species
GUCUACAGCCAUGCCACCCUUCUGAUCCCGUCUGAUCUCAGAAGCUAAGCAGAGUCGGGCCUGGUUAGUACUUGGAUGGGAGACCACCUAGGAAGACCAGGUGCGGUAAGUG